rnacentral:rRNA from 1 species
UUUAUUGGAAGAGAUGCAUUUAUUAGAUAAAAAACCAAUACAUGCUUUUAAAGUAUGGAAUUUGGUGAUUUACAAUAACUUAGCAAAUCGCAUAGUGAAAACAGGCGAUAAAUCAUUCAAGUUUCUGACCUAUCAGCUUUCGACGGUAUGGUAUUGGCUUACCGUGGCAGUGACGGUUAACGGGGGAUUAGGGUUCGAUUCCGGAGAGGGAGCCUGAGAAACGGCUACCACAUCUAAGGAAGGCAGCAGGCGCGCAAAUUACCCAAUUCUAACAGCAUAAGAGAGGUAGUGACAAGAAAUAACAAUACAAGGCAGUUAAAAUGCUUUGUAAUUGGAAUGAUAGAAAUUUAAACACUUUUUAAAGUAUCAAUUGGAGGGCAAGUCUGGUGCCAGCAGCCGCGGUAAUUCCAGCUCCAAUAGCGUAUAUUAAAAUUGUUGCAGUUAAAAAGCUCGUAGUUGAAUUUCUGCUAAAAAUAACCGGUCUGCUUUUAAUAAAGGUGGUAUCUUGGUGUGUUUUUAGCAAUAAUGUCCUUUGAAAUGUUUUUUACUUCAUUGUAAUAAAUUAUAUUCAGGAUUUUUACUUUGAGAAAAUUAGAGUGUUUCUAGCAAGCUAACGCUUUGAAUA